rnacentral:rRNA from 1 species
GGCGGACUGGUGAGCAACGCGUGGGUGAUCUGCCCUUGGGAUGGGGAUAGCCAUUAGAAAUAGUGGGUAAUACCGAAUACGCUCCCCCUGCUGUGGCGGGGGGAGGAAAGGCGCUUCGGCGCCACCCGAGGAUGAGCCCGCGUCCCAUUAGCUUGUUGGCGGGGUAACGGCCCACCAAGGCGAUGAUGGGUGGGCGGCCUGAGAGGGUGUACGCCCACACUGGGACUGAGAUACGGCCCAGACUCCUACGGGAGGCAGCAGCUAAGAAUAUUCCGCAAUGGACGAAAGUCUGACGGAGCGACGCCGCGUGGAUGACGAAGGCCGAAAGGUUGUAAAAUCCUUUUGUUGGGGAAGAAUAAGCGUGGCAGGAAAUGGCCGCGUGAUGACAUGAACCGACGAAUAAGCCCCGGCUAACUACGUGCCAGCAGCCGCGGUAACACGUAGGGGGCGAGCGUUGUUCGGAAUUACUGGGCGUAAAGGGCAUGUAGGCGGCCCUGUAAGCCUGGCGUGAAAGUCACCGGCUCAACCGGUGGAUUGCGUCGGGAACUGCGGGGCUCGAGUCACGGAGGGGAAGGUAGAAUUCCU